GUUCUCAAAGACUGAGUUCAAGGAGCUCUACGUUUCAAAGUCAAGCUGGAGCUGGAGGUCUGGGAAGGUCCACAGCUGUGCUCUGAAAGAACCUUGUCUGAGAUCUUGGAAACCAAACCUGCCAUUGGCUAAGAAGGGACUGGGCAAGAGGCAGGCGGCUCCAUUGCUCACAGGCUCCAGGGAAGGCAAGUCUGAUGUUAGCUCAGCUACCAACCCAGAAUCACGGAUGGGGACAGAGCCAAACAUCACCACCCUAACAAGCUAUGCAUGAAUAUACCUCAGUCUAAGAGAGCUCGUCACACAGUGCCUGGUAUGUGGAACAACUCAAUAAAGGAAGCCAAGUGGUUCUGAAAAGAAAG
rnacentral:lncRNA from 1 species